UAGAGUUUGAUCCUGGCUCAGGAUGAACGCUAGCGGCAGGCUUAACACAUGCAAGUCGAGGGGCAUCGGGAGGGAAGCUUGCUUUCCUUGCCGGCGACCGGCGCACGGGUGAGUAACACGUAUGCAACCUGCCCUCUUCAGGGGGACAACCUUCCGAAAGGGAGGCUAAUCCCGCGUAUAUCGGUUUCGGGCAUCCGAGAUCGAGGAAAGAUUCAUCGGAAGAGGAUGGGCAUGCGGCGCAUUAGCUUGACGGCGGGGUAACGGCCCACCGUGGCGACGAUGCGUAGGGGUUCUGAGAGGAAGGUCCCCCACACUGGUACUGAGACACGGACCAGACUCCUACGGGAGGCAGCAGUGAGGAAUAUUGGUCAAUGGGAGAGAUCCUGAACCAGCCAAGCCGCGUGAGGGAAGACGGCCCUAUGGGUUGUAAACCUCUUUUGUCGGAGAACAAAACCCGGGACGUGUCCCGGACUGCGUGUAUCCGAAGAAAAAGCAUCGGCUAACUCCGUGCCAGCAGCCGCGGUAAUACGGAGGAUGCGAGCGUUAUCCGGAUUUAUUGGGUUUAAAGGGUGCGUAGGCGGUCCGUUAAGUCAGCGGUAAAAUUGCGGGGCUCAACCCCGUCGAGCCGUUGAAACUGGCAGACUUGAGUUGGCGAGAAGUACGCGGAAUGCGCGGUGUAGCGGUGAAAUGCAUAGAUAUCGCGCAGAACUCCGAUUGCGAAGGCAGCGUACCGGCGCCACACUGACGCUGAGGCACGAAAGCGUGGGGAUCGAACAGGAUUAGAUACCCUGGUAGU
rnacentral:rRNA from 1 species